rnacentral:snoRNA from 1 species
GGUUCAAGUGAUGAUGAGAAACAACAACAACAACAUGACAGGAGUUACCUUCCUGUGAUUCGUAGUUUAAAGUUGGAUGAUU